UACGUAGGGUGCAAGCGUUAAUCGGAAUUACUGGGCGUAAAGCGUGCGCAGGCGGUUUUGUAAGUCUGUCGUGAAAGCCCCGGGCUCAACCUGGGAAUUGCGAUGGAGACUGCAAGGCUUGAAUCUGGCAGAGGGGGGUAGAAUUCCACGUGUAGCAGUGAAAUGCGUAGAGAUGUGGAGGAACACCGAUGGCGAAGGCAGCCCCCUGGAUCAAGAUUGACGCUCAUGCACGAAAGCGUGGGGA
rnacentral:rRNA from 1 species